GACGAACGCUGGCGGCGUGCUUAACACAUGCAAGUCGAACGGAAAGGCCUCUUUCGGGGGGUACUCGAGUGGCGAAAGGGUGAGUAAAACGUGAGUAACCUGCGCUUUUCUUUGGGAUAAAUUCAGAAGAAUGGGGCUAAUACCGGAUAGGAGCUCCUGCUGCGUGGGGGGGGUUGGGGAGUUUCGGCGGUUGGGGAUGGACUCGCGGCUUAUCAGCUUGUUGGUGGGGUAGUGGCUUACCAAGGCUUUGACGGGUAGCCGGCCUGAGAGGGUGACCGGCCACAUUGGGACUGAGAUACGGCCCAGACUCCUACGGGAGGCAGCAGUGGGGAAUAUUGCACAAUGGGCGGAAGCCUGAUGCAGCAACGCCGCGUGCGGGAUGACGGCCUUCGGGUUGUAAACCGCUUUCGCUCAUGACGAAGCGUUAGGGGCGGUAAGUGGGUAAAGAAGCACCGGCAAACUACUG
rnacentral:rRNA from 1 species